GGUACCAUCUGCUACACUGGCUGCACCAGCCAAGGCUAAGGGUUCACAAGUAGAUGCCCCUGCAUUACCAUCCGUAAAGAGACCCGUUCCCCAGGAGCUCCUGUGUCUGAUGCCCGAAGGAGCAGCUCAUCUGUCAACAGAGGCGACUGCCACAGUUCCUGGAUCAGAGGAGCUCCUGAUUUCUCCUGAGACGUCUGCAGAGCCCGGUCAACUGCCAACUCCACACAGAGACCAAAGUGAGCCUUUACCCAGGCCAAUAGCUGUCCCCACCUGUCCUCCUCCACAGCUUCCUGGCUACGACCACGAUGUCA